UGAGUACGAGAUGCUACGGCAUCGAAGCAGUCUAUGUCAUACUUCCAAGAAAAGCUUGCACUGUCAUAAACAAAGAAUGCCUGUACCAUAACCGACACAGGUGGGUAGGUAGAGUAUACUAAGGGGCGCGAGAUAACUCUCUCUAAGGAACUCGGCAAAAUGACUCCGUAACUUCGGGAGAAGGAGUGCCUUAUUUCUAAGGUUGCAAUAACAAGAUCCAAGCAACUGUUUACCAAAAACACAGGUCUCCGCUAAGUCGUAAGACGAUGUAUGGGGGCUGACGCCUGCCCAGUGCCAGAAGGUUAAAGAAGUUGGUUAGCAUUAGCGAAGCUGAUAACUGAAGCCCUGGUGAACGGCGGCCGUAACGAUAACGGUCCUAAGGUAGCGAAAUUCCUUGUCGGGUAAGUUCCGACCCGCACGAAAGGCGUAAUGAUUUGGAUACUGUCUCGGAGAGGGGCUCGGUGAAAUAGACUUGUCUGUGAAGAUGCGGACUACCUGCACCUGGACAGAAAGACCCUAUGAAGCUUUACUGUAACUUGAGAUUGAAAUUGGACUUUAUUUGCGCAGUAUAGGUGGGAGGCGUUGAGAAUAAUCUUGCGGGAUUGUUGGAGCCAUCAGUGAGAUACCACUCUUGUAAUGUUAGAUUUCUAACUUUGUAUCAUUAUCUGGUCAAAGAACAGUUUCAGGCGGGCAGUUUGACUGGGGCGGUCGCCUCCCAAAGGGUAACGGAGGCGCACAAAGGUUUCCUCUGAACGGGUAGAAAUCGUAUCUAGAGUGUAAAGGCAUAAGGAAGCUUGACUGUGAGACCUACAAGUCGAGCAGGGACGAAAGUCGGUCUUAGUGAUCUGACGGUGCUGAGUGGAAAGGCCGUCACUCAACGGAUAAAACUUACUCUAGGGAUAACAGGCUGAUCUCCCCCAAGAGUUCACAUCGACGGGGAGGUUUGGCACCUCGAUGUCGGCUCAUCGCAUCCUGGGGCGGUAGUCCGUCCCAAGGGUUGGGCUGUUCGCCCAUGAAAGCGGUACGCGAGCUGGGUUCAGAACGUCGUGAGACAGUUCGGUCCAUAUCCGGUGUAGGCGUUAGAAUAUUGAGAGGAGCCUUCUCUAGUACGAGAGGACCGAGAAGGACAUACCUCUGGUGUACCAGUUAUCGUGCCAACGGUAAACGCUGGGUAGCUAUGUAUGGAGUGGAUAACCGCUGAAAGCAUCUAAGUGGGAAGCCCACCUCAAGAUAAGUAUUCUCAUC
rnacentral:rRNA from 1 species